rnacentral:lncRNA from 1 species
AAAUAUUACCUACGAAACUUGCCAAAUGACCAAAUUCACAAUAGACAGUAGAUAUCACUUCAUAUAGCAUCACUCGGGCCAAACUUUGUUCAGAUUACAUAGCACACACCGACGUAACACGCUGGAACAAUGUGAUUGGGUUCAGAUUACAUAGCACACGUAUAAUUAACACACACUGGAACAAUGCCGCAUGUGGAUUUGCAUUCUCUGCUUUGUUCUUGGCUCAGUUGCGUUGGUUGUCACAAUGGCUAUUACGUGUGUACGAUAGCUUAGCUACAGCUUGCAGGUUGUAUGAUGUGAUGGAUGCCGGCGUCACCCAAGAAGGCUCACACCAAGCAUCUUCUCCAUGUAUCAUGCGGCCGCUGCAGCGGACAUAAGGGACCUCGUGUGUGCGACAGGCUUGGAUGUAGCAGAAGCCGAGCCAGGAGAGCCACGCGACAGGCAGGUGGUGGAGAUCAUCUUCUCAUCCGGCAACGAGAUGAUGCGCUUCGAGUGCCGCCCAGCCGCAUGCGCGCGAGGAGCACGCGCCUCGUCUCCAGCCGGUGACGCGGUUCGUUGCGGCGCCACACAAACUACGGGAACGGCCUUGCACGCAAACAGGUGGAUCGGCCGAUGCAUGCGCUGCUGCCGGCGCCAGCAAUCGAUCUCUCCCCGCCCAUGGAUCUAGGGUUUGCUUUCAGGGAAUUGGGGAAUUUUUCUCCUCACGUCGGGUCGGGUUGUAACAUUUCCUGUGAGGACAACGCGACUCUUCCUGCUGACAUGUCAAGGUGCGAGGGUUGAAGGGCAAGCCAAUAAACAUCCUGGGCCGUAUCACAAAAGUCCAAGAUGAAUCGUAAUUUUUUGCUUACGUAUUGGCUGCGCGUCGCGAGGAUCGUCUCCAGGACCGUAUGUGGGCUGGAUUUUCAAGUACCAGGACUGUACUGGAGCGCUUCGGAGGUAUCAGGACC